UUUAUGGUUUUGGUGCCCAUACCGGAUGGGGUAUGGGGAUGGCCCUGGAAUUAAGUUAUUAAUGUGAAUGGUUCACGUAUAGCGGGGACCUCCUAUGGAUCCCCAUGGAUACUAGUAGGCUGAUAAAAGAGGAAAUUUGUUGCCUGAUGAUUGAAAUACAAAAGUAUGAUAUGUGUUAUGUUACAGAGUGUGCAUGAUCUUAUGAUAUUUAUGAUGUUAUUAUUUCUCAUAAGUUGUUUUCAUGAAUCUUACCGAGGUAAAUGGACAGUAAAUGUUUUUAUUAUUAAUAAAUG
rnacentral:lncRNA from 1 species